AUUUUAUUUUGGCCAGGAGCUGAAGUUGGUUGUUUAGUAGUAGUAGUUUGAGUAGUGACCGAAGUAGUAGUCUGGUGUGUGGGUGGGGCAGCUGUGGUCUCUGGUGGAGCUGAGGCGGAUGAUGGGUCUAGGGUAGUUGCAGAAGGUGUGGGUGGGGCAGCUGUGGUCUCUGGUGGAGCUGAGGAAGAUGGUGGAGCUGGUGUAGUUGCAGGAGGUGUGGGUGGGGCAGCUGUGGUCUCUGGUGGAGCUGAGGAAGAUGGUGGAGCUGGUGUAGUUGCAGAAGGUGUGGGUGGGGCAGCUGUGGUGUCUUGUGGAGCUGGGGAAUUCACUGGUGCUAAUGUAGCUACAGAAGAGCUUG
rnacentral:lncRNA from 1 species